CCGACUGCAGCGCAGUCCCAGGGAGCCCUCAGAGACAAAAGUCGUGGUGCUGGCAGGUGAAUCGAGCCCUUGUCUACCCAGAAGAGCUGGGGCAAGUAGCGAUGGUGCGCUGUGUGCUUCCAUCGAUGGAGGGCUCUUAGGAAGCACGAGUCACUGUGGUUCAGAUGACAGGCUUCCACAUA